rnacentral:rRNA from 1 species
UACGGAGGGUGCAAGCGUUAUCCGGAUUUACUGGGUUUAAAGGGUGUGUAGGCGGGCUUUUAAGUCAGUGGUGAAAUCUCCGGGCUCAACCCGGAAACUGCCAUUGAUACUAUUAGUCUUGAAUUUUGUUGAGGUAGGCGGAAUAAGUCAUGUAGCGGUGAAAUGCAUAGAUAUGACUUAGAACACCAAUUGCGAAGGCAGCUUACUAAACAAAUAUUGACGCUGAGGCACGAAAGCGUGGGGAUCAAACAGG